UACGUAGGUGGCAAGCGUUGUCCGGAUUUACUGGGCGUAAAGCGCGUGUAGGCGGCCCUGCAAGUCGGGUGUGAAAUCCCACGGCUCAACCGUGGAAAGUGCACUCGAAACUGCAGGGCUAGAGUCCUGGAGAGGAAGGUGGAAUGCUUGGUGUAGAGGUGAAAUUCGUAGAUAUCAAGCGGAACACCGGUGGCGAAGGCGGCCUUCUGGACAGUGACUG
rnacentral:rRNA from 1 species